rnacentral:rRNA from 1 species
AUACAUGCAAGUCGAGCGAAUGGAUUAAGAGCUUGCUCUUAUGAAGUUAGCGGCGGACGGGUGAGUAACACGUGGGUAACCUGCCCAUAAGACUGGGAUAACUCCGGGAAACCGGGGCUAAUACCGGAUAACAUUUUGAACCGCAUGGUUCGAAAUUGAAAGGCGGCUUCGGCUGUCACUUAUGGAUGGACCCGCGUCGCAUUAGCUAGUUGGUGAGGUAACGGCUCACCAAGGCAACGAUGCGUAGCCGACCUGAGAGGGUGAUCGGCCACACUGGGACUGAGACACGGCCCAGACUCCUACGGGAGGCAGCAGUAGGGAAUCUUCCGCAAUGGACGAAAGUCUGACGGAGCAACGCCGCGUGAGUGAUGAAGGCUUUCGGGUCGUAAAACUCUGUUGUUAGGGAAGAACAAGUGCUAGUUGAAUAAGCUGGCACCUUGACGGUACCUAACCAGAAAGCCACGGCUAACUACGUGCCAGCAGCCGCGGUAAUACGUAGGUGGCAAGCGUUAUCCGGAAAUGUUGGGCGUAAAGCGCGCGCAGGUGGUUUCUUAAGUCUGAUGUGAAAGGCCCCCGGUCAACCCUGGAAGGUCA